GUUCCCGUAGCUCAGUCGGAUAGAGCGACAGUUUGCGGAACUGUAGGCCGCGUGUUCGAAUCCUCUCGGGAACG
rfam:Microgenomates bacterium 39_6 MPI_scaffold_907, whole genome shotgun sequence.